GUGUUGUAUGAAAGGAGAGAAGGUUAGCACUCCCCUUGACAAGGAUGGAAGAGGCCCUUGGGCCUAACAACUCAUGCAGUUAAGGCAUUGCUAUCUAUUUCGUGGCAUCUAAUCAUUGUUUCU
rnacentral:ncRNA from 1 species